UUCCCCACCUAGAGGUCUAUGUGUGUACAGGACAGGCUGCUUUGGAGUGAGACUGUGCCAGCAGCCUUAGGCUGGGUGUUAACACCCCAAAGGGUGGAUGAACUCACAGCACGUCCUGGGUGCCUUCAUGGGAAAUACCUUUAAAGCACUCCUGUUUCUUUCCCCAGAGUGAACUGGCUGUGUAAGAGCACUUGAAAUUCUUCAGUCGGGGAAAAAAAAAAGCACACCAAAAACACCCUGGAGGAUGAUCAAAGGUGAAUGAGAAGCUUGGCCACGGAGCAGACCCCAGUGGAGAUAGCAGUUCUUUAAGGCUUUCAAGCAGCUGACAAGAAACCAUCAAGUUCUGAGAGCUCCACUCCUAUGAAAGUCAACAGUCCUUCAAGAAAGAGGACCCAACUUGCUGGAGUGGCUUAUCUGGACCGGAGCCUACUCCUACCCAAGACCUGAAAGACCUCAGGGAAGAUGUCAGUGGAGGCAGCCAGAAGACUGGGGAGCCUCAGUGGUCUCAAAAGCAAGCCACAAGAAAACACUGUCACCUGAUGUGGGUCAUGGUUGGGCAGUAAUACCGAUGGCCAAAGUGUGGGGGUCACCGUGGGGAGGACUAGUGCUGGAGGAAGAGGUUGAGUCACGUUCUCUGGGGUUAAUUAUAUGGUGGAUGCUGAUGAACUAGGCAAAGAGCUUAAAAUCUAUAAGGAAUUUGUAAUGGGAAUUUAUCUUCAUACCUAUACUGCUAUUGAUCAAAAUGGUAGUCAGCAGAUGUUCAGACCCUAUUGAUCAGCUUGGAUAUAUUAUCGGUGGCUGUAUUCUAAAUAGAGUUCAGUGCACUAAGGGAAUUUUUUCCUUGUCUUUAUUUCUAUUUUCCUGUCACCAUGACAAUGUAUAUGUAAACAUUUCUUAUUUAAAAAUAUCAAAUAUGAGAGCAGAUUUGAAGUAUUUUGGAAUUUAAGUGCUGGGAUCAGAAUAACAUGUGUGGUGAUUUGACAUGAGCUGAAAAUAUACCCAAAGGCUCCUUUCCAGCAUGCUGACAAAACAUAUAAAUUAGCCUGGCAAGGGUCUGGCUCUCACCGGAGCACAGUGCAGAGUCCUGAUCCAGAGGAGCAGCCACUGCCCCAGAUAUGCAGUGAAUCAUCAUUUUUCUAGCAGAGAUUUUUACCUGUAGACAUUGCGAUGAGGACUGCAGGGAAGCCAGUGAUAAAUUAGCACUGCCCUGUGCCUGGCUGCUGCAGUGGCAGCUGAGGAAUCCCCACGGUGGCCUUAGUGCUGUUGGUGCAAAGGGAGGGAGCAGUCACCCUCCAGGGAAACAGCAGGGAAGGGCAGUGCACUCUAGGAGCUGGCACUGAGCUCCACAGCUCAUAUAUCCUCGUGCCAGCACUCUCCUCUAAAGGAAUCAUUCAAUGUCCUGGACACAACAGAUCUGGGAGAAGACCGUGUGCAAGAUAAAGCAGUUUUAAUUUUAGAGCUGUGAUGGUUAGUGCAAAUGAGAAGGUAUGGAUUAUGAAAUGUCCUUGAAGUUCUGAAAACAAAAAAGCAAGAUUAUUUAGCGGUGUCUCUCUUUAUGCCUGAUGGAUAAUGUUCACUUUUAAGUGAAAAGAUGUAGAAUUUAAAUAGUCUUCUAAAGAAAGACGUUUUCUUUGGGGACACAACAAUAGCUUGGAAAAAAAAACCCCACCACCACAAACAGGUCACUUUUAUGGAGGCCCAUAUUUAUUUGGGGGCUGAAGUCUCAUUCCUAAUUUUAGGCAUGAGUUUUUAGCAGCACUGAGAACACUGGCCCUGAUAACACCAAAGGCACAGAAGCACCACGAGAAGGAAAUGACGAGUGUGAUUUCUUUUAUAGCAUUACAGAUCCUGUGAUUUACAUUUCUAAUUCCUACAGAUGCUCUGGAAAAUCCCACUUCAAAUAUUUGUCAAGCAUGCUAGGGCUGCUGGUGGCAAGCACUGUGCAAAUUCAAAGCAUUAAUAUUAUUGCUUAGCUGUUGUAGCUGAAAUACAAACGGGCCUCCUUGUCUUGAAAUGUCAUUUGAAAAAAAACAAAUCUUCCCUUAGAGAGAUCAGCUUUCUUUUUCCAGGAACUCUCUGCUCCCAGGCAGACCUCCAGUACUGAGGGGAGAUUCAUUCACGUUCCUGUCUCAUCUCUUCUUACAGAGACUGAAGAGAAAUAUCCCAAAGGAACCUAUGUGGCUGCUGUAGGGUUGGGUUUUAUUCCUGCUCCUCAUUUGUGCUGUCCUGCAGCUCAGGCUAGCAUGCUGCUGUUAAUGAAAUGCCAAAGAUCAAGAUG
rnacentral:lncRNA from 7 species